rnacentral:rRNA from 1 species
GGGACACGUGGUAUCCUGUCUGAAUAUGGGGGGACCAUCCUCCAAGGCUAAAUACUCCUGACUGACCGAUAGUGAACCAGUACCGUGAGGGAAAGGCGAAAAGAACCCCGGCGAGGGGAGUGAAAAAGAACCUGAAACCGUGUACGUACAAGCAGUGGGAGCACCUUCGGGUGUGACUGCGUACCUUUUGUAUAAUGGGUCAGCGACUUAUAUUCUGUAGCAAGGUUAACCGUAUAGGGGAGCCGCAGGGAAACCGAGUCUUAACUGGGCGUUAAGUUGCAGGGUAUAGACCCGAAACCCGGUGAUCUAGCCAUGGGCAGGUUGAAGGUUGGGUAACACUAACUGGAGGACCGAACCGACUAAUGUUGAAAAAUUAGCGGAUGACUUGUGGCUGGGGGUGAAAGGCCAAUCAAACCGGGAGAUAGCUGGUUCUCCCCGAAAGCUAUUUAGGUAGCGCCUCGUGAACUCAUCUUCGGGGGUAGAGCACUGUUUCGGCUAGGGGGUCAUCCCGACUUACCAACCCGAUGCAAACUACGAAUACCGAAGAAUGUUAUCACGGGAGACACACGGCGGGUGCUAACGUCCGUCGUGAAGAGGGAAACAACCCAGACCGCCAGCUAAGGUCCCAAAGUCAUGGUUAAGUGGGAAACGAUGUGGGAAGGCACAGACAGCCAGGAUGUUGGCUUAGAAGCAGCCAUCAUUUAAAGAAAGCGUAAUAGCUCACUGGUCGAGUCGGCCUGCGCGGAAGAUGUAACGGGGCUAAACCAUGCACCGAAGCUGCGGCAGCGACACUAUGUGUUGUUGGGUAGGGGAGCGUUCUGUAAGCCUGCGAAGGUGACCUGUGAGGGUUGCUGGAGGUAUCAGAAGUGCGAAUGCUGACAUAAGUAACGAUAAAGCGGGUGAAAAGCCCGCUCGCCGGAAGACCAAGGGUUCCUGUCCAACGUUAAUCGGGGCAGGGUGAGUCGACCCCUAAGGCGAGGCCGAAAGGCGUAGUCGAUGGGAAACAGGUUAAUAUUCCUGUACUUGGUGUUACUGCGAAGGGGGGACGGAGAAGGCUAUGUUAGCCGGGCGACGGUUGUCCCGGUUUAAGCAUGUAGGCUGGU